UGCGAGUCCACAACAUUGUCGGUUGAAGCCUUUCAUCGAAGUCGCUCAGAUCUGUUCUCUGGCGGUGCGGUGGUCGCCGGUCAAGGUGGAGCGGUCGUCCUGGAUCGCUCACUUUGCUCACUUUGUCGGCUCUGUGCUGUAGAGGACGGCGGCGAGAUCUACGGUGUCCAUAAACUUUGUCGUUGACUUUGCUCCUUCACGAUUUAAUCACGAGCCUUUGCUUUCUCUUUCGCAUAUUUAAUCAAAGCUAGAGGUCACAACUCUCACCGAUCACCAGUCACCGUCACGGCCGCCGUCUUCAACCACCACAUCCUAACCGGUGAAUUUUCUGGUGUAACUCUCAGCCCUCAUCUCUGGCGAGCAUCUCUUUAUUCACCAUCAAUUCAUCUGAGACUUCAUUCAAGUCUCCCUCUUCGACAACGAGAGAUAUUGCAAUGUCACAGUAUAUGAUUUUUGAAUUAGAGAAGAAAGGAGAAAACAAGAAAGGAGAUGUCUGAUUCAAGAAAACGUUUGGUGGAUGAAACGUAAUCCGAUCAAGCUGAAACUUGGUGGUAAGCUUCGUGAAAAUGCUGUCUUGAGUAUCAACGGUGGGAUUGAGAUUUUGACGGUUGGUUUGUGUUUUAUUCGAGCUUCUUCCGGGCACAGUUCAUCUGAAAGUUUCAGAUUUGACCAGUUCUUAUGGAAAUGUCAACCGGAUGACCAAAUAAACUCGGAAUGAGAUGAAAUUUUGCAGAGAUACUCUAGACAUGUGAAACUAGAUUCUGGUAGAAGGACACUGGAUUUGGAGUCCGGGAACAUAGUUUACUGAUGACAUUUCAGAACAGUUGAUUCAAAGUCUUAUGGAACAAUGAGUUUCUAAUGACAUGAAAAAGGUGAAGAGCAUAGAUGUUGAAACAUGUUAUGGAAGCAUCCUAGAAACUAUGAAGAAUGCUGAAAAGCGUUUUUAGAAGAGACUUUGAAACACAGAGAUUGCAACUGAGACUAAGAGAGGAGUUGAGACAGAAAAAGUUCUUAGUUCAUGAGAAAGAUGAAAUUAUGUAAGAGAAGAGGUUCUUCUGAAUGAUUAUCAUCAGUAAGGUUUAUGAAGAAUGCUGAAAAUCGUUUUUAGAUGAGACUUUGACACAGAAAGAUUGCAACUAAGGCUAAGAGAGAAGUUGAGACAAAAAAUAAAAAGUUCUUAGUUCAUGAGAAAGAUGAGAUUAUGUGGGAGAAGAGGUUAUUCUCAAUGAUUGUUAUUAGUAAGGUUUAUGAUGAUAUUCUGUCAUCAAACUUUCUGUUAAAUCAAGGUAUAAAGUCAUGGAAAGUCUCAGAUCAAAGAAAGAUAAUGCAUGUUGGUUGAGAAGUUUUCUUGUGAAGAAAAGUUCAGUCAAAGGUUCUUUUGGAGAAAAUUUGCAAGGAGAUUUCAAGUGUGGCUCAUGCUGGUGAUAAACUGUGAGAAAUUGUUUCAUCUUAAAGAGAAACCAAAAGUGAAAAGCAAUUGGAGAGGAGAAUUCUACGUGAUGAUUCACUCUAUAUGAGAAGCUGAUUGGGAUCAAUCUGCGAUGUAUCCGCUGCAACUACAAGGUCGAUAGGAGUUGACACCGCUGAAGGAAUUUAAAUCCGAAACUCAGCUGAAUGAGAGAAGAAUCUUCUAUUGGAGUUAGAGUAACCCUUUGGAAAGGAAAGAGAUGUUCUGUUUGUGGUAUUUGGUGACAGCGUGCUGGUGUAAAUUCUUGAUUAGGAGAAAGUCACUAAAUCUGAUACUAUAUAAGAUGCCAUCUGACAAGAAUUGUGUAUGAAAACAAGAAUUGGCUCAAAUACCAAUCCAGAGACAUGAAUGUCAGAGCAUUGGCUCAGCAGUUCUGAGAGUACAAGGCAUUUGAGUAAAUGGAGUCUGAAACUGAUCUCUACGUCGGCGUCUUCAGAAUUUGGUUUAUCAUGAAGAGUUAUUAAUGUGAGAAUCUGAUUGUGUUUGUUGAAGAAACGUAAAACACAAGUUAGUGGUGAAGAAUCAGUCUUCUCAUAGCUCGUUCAUAAAGAUGAGGAUUCACGUAUUGAAGUAUUCAUGGAUCUGUUGCUAUCACAAGAAGAAAAAGACCUUCAAUAUUGGAGAAGCUUUGCAGAAAAAAAAAAAUCGUUAGAAAGCUCCAUGUUUUUGCUUCGAAGGGAAGGACUGUAGAAGAAAUAUUAGAAAAGUUGAUGCAGAAGACGCUCCGUGAAUGACAGAUGGCAAUAAAAGGAACUUCAGAGAAUGAUCAGAAGCUGUGUCAACAUAUCUGUUGGAAUCAAACACAUUUAGAGGCAAAGGCAGAGGUUGACAUCAUUUUCUUUGAGUUUUUAACUUAGUUAUGCACUCAAGCAGGGGGAGAUAUCGCACACAAAGAGAGUUCUUCAAUCUUAUCUGGUCUGAGGACAUGAAUUGAAGAAUGGGGUUUUACUUGAAACUGACUAAUGAGAAUGGAUGGAUGCUGCUUGCGUGUGUCUUUGACUGAAUGAAGUUUGAUUUAAAGAGCAGAGUGCUUGAGUAUCAAACUAAGUUAAAAAGGGGGGAAAUGAAGAUGUUAGAUC